rnacentral:lncRNA from 1 species
GAGACACUGGCUUUGAUCCCUGGCAUCACAUAAAAAUAAAUAAAAUAAAGGUACAUCUACAAUUAAAAAAAUUUUUUUUAAAAAGAAGGGAAUUUUAUCUGAAGCUUUGUCUCAGCCAGAAUAUGGAAUAUAUAGGCUCUUUGUACUCAGAGCCAUGAUAGGAACUGCUGAUCCAAACAGGGCCUCUCCACCUUUUUGCCUCUUGAUUCAGGACCUCAAAUGCUAAGGGCCUAUGGAUUUGAUCUAAUGGGAAACCUUGAAGAGUACCAAAUGGUGUAGUAACAGAUUUGCAUUUUAGGAAAAAUACUCAAGCUGCAGAUGUAAAGUGGUGGGAAUAUAAGGUUAGGGGGCUAAUUCUAUAAACUAGGUCCACUGUGAUGACCCCCACAUGCUUUCUUUUAAAAAGCAAUUUACCUGGCUUAAGUCAGGAUAUGUUACACCUCAGCAAACAACCUAUUAUCUGAAGAAGAAAUGCAGGGUAACAGAAGUUAACCCUGAAGUCGGGGGACUUCUGUGACUUAUAUAGGCCAGAUCCCAGAAUUCAGGAAGAUAAGGACAAUUCCCCCUAACUCUAAAACCCAUAAGAACAAGUUCUAGUUAGAACCAGUCAACAUGGGCAAAUGCCCUGGAUCUUUACUAUACACAGUUGGGACUUGGAAGUUUGAUGUGAUUGUGCUGUCAGUCAAAUGUCAAGAGGUGUCAGGCGCAGUGGCACACGUCUGUAAUCCCAGUGGCUUGGAAGGCUAAGGCAGGAGGAUUGCAAGUUCAAAGUCAGCCUCAGCAACUCAGUGAGGCACUAAGCAACUCAGUGAGACCCUGUCUCUAAAUAAAAAUUUAAAAAAGCACCCCUGGUUCAAUCCCCGGUACCAAAAAAAA